GCCAAUGUAGCUCAGGGGUAGAGCACUUCCUUGGUAAGGAAGGGGUCACGAGUUCAAUUCUCGUCAUUGGCU
rnacentral:tRNA from 1 species